rnacentral:lncRNA from 1 species
UAUACCUCUUUUUUCUAAACCACAAUUUUGUACAUCAGUGGUUCUAAGACUAUAUUUUCUUGAUAAUAUAGUUUAUUAAUACUAUAACAUACUGUGGCACGGUAGGGUCUUGCCAGAGCUCUGUCAUCAUGGCCGCAUUCGCGGAGCUCCAGUGAGACCCUAUCGCACCCGCGGCAACCUCCUCCUUCCCCUCCCACCAUCACCACCAUCUUCUCUAAUUCUAGCGAGAUUCCCCCACCCCAACUUGGACAGAACACCGCUAACAUCGCCAAGGCCCCUAAACCGCCUGGCCACCAUCACCACGGCCUAGCCUGCCUGCCUCCCCUAGCCCACCCCUUCAAUAGCCACCAGAGUUAGAGAAGAAAGAGGGGAAUAAGCUCACUAGAACUCUAGCCAUCGCCGUUGUCGUCUUUGUCUCCGGUGGGCAUAGUUCCAGGAGGAGGAGAAGGAGGAGCCCAUUGAAGAGUUGAGAUGGCAGACUAGAAGAAGGUGAAUUCUAAAACUUAUCAUUUUGGACGAUCUAGCGAAGACUAUACUCCUCUAUUUAAGUUCUCUAGCACAUUGUAACCAAACAAGGUGCUACCUUAGUAAGAGCUCACCUAACCCAUUCUAGGAGCAAGGUCACACAAACCUAUACCACUAGUACUUUGCAAACUGGGAGAGCUCUAAACAACUAGUAAGCAAAAGCACAAAGCUCCUCAGCGUCCGACUUCGCCGAAACUUUUCUCCAGUGCUAUGGAUAAUAGGCAUUCUAUUUUCACAAAAACACCGAAUCCUGCCUCACAAGUUCGGCGGGAGGGAGAGAGAAACCCAAACCCCUCUCUACCUAUUAAACUCCACCUCCUUUGCAAAAGUGCUAACACCUCUAAGUAUACACCACCAUGUGCAUGUGUGUUAGCUUUUCACAAACAAUUUUCCAAAGGAGUUAGCCUCUCAACUUUCCACGCCACU